GUCCAGACUCCUACGGGAGGCAGCAGUGGGGAAUAUUGGACAAUGGGGGGAACCCUGAUCCAGCGACGCCGCGUGAGUGAAGAAGUAUUUCGGUAUGUAAAGCUCUAUCAGCAGGGAAGAAAAUGACGGUACCUGAGUAAGAAGCCCCGGCUAACUACGUGCCAGCAGCCGCGGUAAUACGUAGGGGGCAAGCGUUAUCCGGAUUUACUGGGUGUAAAGGGAGCGUAGACGGCGAUGCAAGUCUGAAGUGAAAGCCCGGGGCUCAACCCCGGGACUGCUUUGGAAACUGUAUGGCUGGAGUGCUGGAGAGGCAAGCGGAAUUCCUAGUGUAGCGGUGAAAUGCGUAGAUAUUAGGAAGAACACCAGUGGCGAAGGCGGCUUACUGGACUGUAACUGACGUUGAGGCUCGAAAGCGUGGGGAGCAAACAGGAUUAGAUACCCUCGUA
rnacentral:rRNA from 1 species